CGAUACAUAGGGGGACUGAGAGGUUAACCCCCCACACUGGUACUGAGACACGGACCAGACUCCUACGGGAGGCAGCAGUGAGGAAUAUUGGUCAAUGGACGCAAGUCUGAACCAGCCAUGCCGCGUGCAGGAUGACGGCUCUAUGAGUUGUAAACUGCUUUUGUACGAGGGUAAACGCAGAUACGUGUAUCUGUCUGAAAGUAUCGUACGAAUAAGGAUCGGCUAACUCCGUGCCAGCAGCCGCGGUAAUACGGAGGAUUCAAGCGUUAUCCGGAUUUAUUGGGUUUAAAGGGUGCGUAGGCGGUUUGAUAAGUUAGAGGUGAAAUUUCGGGGCUCAACCCUGAACGUGCCUCUAAUACUGUUGAGCUAGAGAGUAGUUGCGGUAGGCGGAAUGUAUGGUGUAGCGGUGAAAUGCUUAGAGAUCAUACAGAACACCGAUUGCGAAGGCAGCUUACCAAACUAUAUCUGACGUUGAGGCACGAAAGCGUGGGGAGCAAACAGGAUUAGAUACCCUGGUAGUCCACGCAGUAAACGAUGAUAACUCGUUGUCGGCGAUACACAGUCGGUGACUAAGCGAAAGCGAUAAGUUAUCCACCUGGGGAGUACGUUCGCAAGAAUGAAACUCAAAGGAAUUGACGGGGGCCCGCACAAGCGGAGGAACAUGUGGUUUAAUUCGAUGAUACGCGAGGAACCUUACCCGGGCUUGAAAGUUAGCGACGAUUCUUGAAAGAGGAUUUCCCUUCGGGGCGCGAAACUAGGUGCUGCAUGGUUGUCGUCAGCUCGUGCCGUGAGGUGUCGGGUUAAGUCCCAUAACGAGCGCAACCCCUACCGUUAGUUGCCAUCAGGUGAAGCUGGGCACUCUGGCGGGACUGCCGGUGUAAGCCGAGAGGAAGGUGGGGAUGACGUCAAAUCAGCACGGCCCUUACGUCCGGGGCUACACACGUGUUACAAUGGGGGGUACAGAAGGCAGCUACACGGCGACGUGAUGCUAAUCCCUAAAGCCUCUCUCAGUUCGGAUUGGAGUCUGCAACCCGACUCCAUGAAGCUGGAUUCGCUAGUAAUCGCGCAUCAGCCAUGGCGCGGUGAAUACGUUCC
rnacentral:rRNA from 1 species